rnacentral:lncRNA from 1 species
UUGAAAUAUAGUACCCUAAGCAGUGAUAUUGCUUUUGCUAUUACAGCCAUACAGGAUGUGAAAGAAGGAAGAGUUUCAGGAGAUGCAUAAUUUAUAACUCUUUUUUUUUUUCUUUUUUUUUUUUUUUUCCCCUAGAGAGAGAACUUAAAAAGUACAUUGGAUAAAGCAACAAAUAAAAAUAAUAUGAAGAGGGUAGAAAAAGCAUUGAAGCAUAAGUGAAAACAAUCUGUUUCAACUGAUGUUUAAAGCUCCAAUAAAUAUGAACUUUUCACCACAAGCCCUCUGAAGAUCUGGACUUGAUGCAGGCCCACCACCAAAAGUAGCCUGGCUUGCAGUGCCCCAUAAAAAUGGGGAUUUGUCCAGGAAAAGUGGUGGUGGAUAGCACCUGCCCUGAGAGAGGGUAAAUGGUGUCUGGGGAGGAACUGCCAGGAGGAAAAUGGUGAACAGCUGAGGAAAAUGGUGGCAGAGAGGAAAAGAUGGUCAUCUGUUCUGCAACUUUUGGACUCUGUGUAAUUCCCGAAUGUUGUAAAGGACCAUGUGUUUUGUUUGGAAGCUGCCAUCUGCCUGUGUUGUUU